UACGGAGGGUGCAAACGUUGCUCGGAAUCAUUGGGCGUAAAGCGCACGUAGGCGGACUGUUAAGUCGGAUGUGAAAUCCCUCAGCUUAACUGAGGAAGUGCAUUCGAAACUGGCAGUCUUGAGUAUGGAAGAGGGUCGCGGAAUUCCUGGUGUAGCGGUGAAAUGCGUAGAUAUCAGGAGGAACACCCGAGGCGAAGGCGGCUCUCUGGGUCGUACCUGACGCUGAGGCGCGAAAGCGUGGGGAGCGAACGGG
rnacentral:rRNA from 1 species